CUACGGGCGGCUGCAGUGAGGAAUAUUGCACAAUGGGGGAACCCUGAUGCAGCAACGCCGCGUGGAGGAUGACGCAUUUCGGUGUGUAAACUCCUUUUAUAUGUCAAGAAAAUGACGGUAGCAUAUGAAUAAGCACCGGCUAACUCCGUGCCAGCAGCCGCGGUAAUACGGAGGGUGCAAGCGUUACUCGGAAUCACUGGGCGGAAAGGACGCGUAGGCGGGCUUGUAAGUCAGGUGUGAAAUCCUACAGCUUAACUGUAGAACUGCACUUGAAACUACGAGCCUAGAGUAUGGGAGGGGGAGAUGGAAUUAGUGGUGUAGGGGUAAAAUCCGUAGAUAUCACUAGGAAUACCUAAAGCGAAGGCGAUCUCCUGGAACAUAACUGACGCUAAGGCGUGAAAGCGUGGGGAGCAAACAGGAUUAGAUACCCUCGUAGUC
rnacentral:rRNA from 1 species